rnacentral:misc_RNA from 1 species
UUUCCGCAGGUGAACCUGCGGAAGGAUCAUUAUCGAAUUUCGAGGGGAAGGAAGAUGAGGAGUGGAGACUGUCGCUGGCUUUCCCGCCUGGGAAGCAUGUGCACGCCUUGCUUUUCGUUGACCUUUCUCUUACUCUCACACCUGUGCACCCAUUGUAGGUCCUCGAAAGAGGAUCUAUGUUUUUAUCAUCACACGCAUCGUAUGUCCAUAGAAUGUGACAUGAUCGUCGAUCGACCUCGCGGUCGGGUGGCGGUCUAAAUAAAUAAAUACAACUUUCAGCAACGGAUCUCUUGGCUCUC